rnacentral:rRNA from 1 species
CCCUUCGAUGUUCUGGGCUGCACGCGCGCUACAAUGGCACCGACAGAGAGCGUGAAUUAAUUAUAGAGUCGCAUCGAGAGAUGUGACGAAUCAGCAAUCGUUGUCGUGAUUGGGAUUGAGCGUUGUAAUAUUUGCUCAUGAAAGAGGAAUUCCUCGUAAGCGCGAGUCACCAACUCGUGUUGAAUACGUCUCUGCCCUUGUACACACCGCCCGUCGCUACUACUGAUUGAACUGGUUUUUGAAGUGUAGAGAUUGGCAGGCAUGUUUACGUGCAUUGCAAAGAACCACUCUGAAAAAAUCGUUCGAGAAGAAGUAAAAGUCGUAACA